ensembl:snRNA Gm22381 U6 spliceosomal RNA
GUGCUCACUUCGGUAGCACAUAUACUAAUUUUGGAACACUGCAGAGAAGAUUAGCAUGGUCCCUGCACAAGUAAAAUUUAUAAUGCUCAUAAAGCAAAAUGACCAAU